UUACUCCCGAAAAUGGAUGGCGCUUAAGCGUGCGACUUAU
rnacentral:rRNA from 1 species